rnacentral:rRNA from 1 species
GGGGAAUAUUGGACAAUGGGGGGAACCCUGAUCCAGCCAUGCCGCGUGUGUGAAGAAGGCCUUAUGGUUGUAAAGCACUUUAAGCGAGGAGGAGGCUCUUUUGGUUAAUACCCAAGAUGAGUGGACGUUACUCGCAGAAUAAGCACCGGCUAACUCUGUGCCAGCAGCCGCGGUAAUACAGAGGGUGCGAGCGUUAAUCGGAUUUACUGGGCGUAAAGCGUGCGUAGGCGGCUUUUUAAGUCGGAUGUGAAAUCCCCGAGCUUAACUUGGGAAUUGCAUUCGAUACUGGGAAGCUAGAGUAUGGGAGAGGAUGGUAGAAUUCCAGGUGUAGCGGUGAAAUGCGUAGAGAUCUGGAGGAAUACCGAUGGCGAAGGCAGCCAUCUGGCCUAAUACUGACGCUGAGGUACGAAAGCAUGGGGAGCAAACA